AUGUAUGGGCCACAUGUGGGGCAGGCUCUGAAUGGGUGUUCCUUCAGUCUCUGUUUUAAUCUUUGCCUCUCUCUUCCCUGCCAAGGGUAUUCUUGUUCCCCUUUUAAAGAAGGAGUGAAGCAUUCACAUUUUGAUCAUCCGUCUUGAGUUUCAUUUGUUCUAGGCAUCUAGGGUAAUUCAAGCAUUUGGGCUAAUAGCCACUUAUCAAUGAGUGCAUACCAUGUAUGUCUUUCUGUGAUUGGGUUAGCUCACUCAGGAUGAUGUUUUCCAUUUCCAACCAUUUGCCUACGAAUUUCAUAAAGUCGUUGUUUUUGAUAGCUGAGUAAUAUUCCAUUGUGUAGAUGUACCACAUUUUCUGUAUCCAUUCCUCUGUUGAAGGGCAUCUGGGUUCUUUCCAGCUUCUGGCUAUUAUAAAUAAGGCUGCAAUGAACAUAGUGGAGCACGUGUCUUUUUUAUAUGUUGGGGCAUCUUUUGGGCUGACAUGUUAUCUUAUAAUGUUAUAUUUUAUGUGCUUUUUGCUUUUGAUUCAUUCAUGUGGGGGAAUUUUAGGAUUGUUCAGCUUUUGACUCAAGUGUUCACUUUUCCUUGUUACUGUGCAUAGGAACUUUACAACUGUUUAUUUUUUUAUUUAUUUGUUUACAACAAAUGGCAUCCUUAAACUUUCAUUUUAUCCCACUUUGCCAUUUUCAUCACUAUUUUCAACACAUUAUUUGUUGUUUUAUUCUUUUUACUUUAUCAGGAUGUAUACUUUCUAUACUCUACCCUUUUAUCUACGUUGUCAGGCUCCCUUAUCCUCAGGUCUAGGUUAACUAUGAAAAUCUCACCUGGAUCCCUUUCCCAUACGGUUCCUUGUCAGCUUUUGGUUGGGGCACACCCCUCUUUUGCUAGCCAGGAAGAAACCCGUGUAUAGCAGUUCCUAAACUCUGGCAUCUUUAAGUCACUUUUUUCUCUCUUUACCCCAGGGAACUUUCUUUUCUGGGUUUCCUGAAAAUACUGCUACUUUGAUGCCAUUUUUUUCUGUGCUGUGUUUGAAGUUUGGUACUAUUUUGUUGUUACUGUUGUCUUGUUUUGUUUUUGCAUUUGACCUUAUUUUACCCCCCACCUCACUCCCUUGAAAGCCCUAAGAACAUUUUCUUUAUCUUUAUGAACUAAUGAUCUUACUAGACCAUCUUUUGGACUCCAUAAUUUAGGCAAUCUUUUCUUACCACCUACUAGGUUCUUUAUUGUAUAAAUCCAAUUGUUCUUUUUGUAUCUGGACAUUAUUAUUAGAUGAUCAUUUCAAUGAUGAAUUCUAUCUCAUUGUUUCUCUUUUCUUUGUUAGGGGUAUGGUAGCAUCUGUUUUCAUCUGUCUUCCACAUCAUUUUUAUAGAGACUCCUAUUUUCUUUUUGAUUUUUAACUAUGUAGUUAUCUCUGUUAUAGGCUGACUUACAGCUAGACCAUAUGGCAUUUCUGUUUCUAGGUUUUGAAGAACUCCCUGUUAGGGUUUGAAAAUUGCUAGACCACAGACUCAAAGAGUAUGCAAGAACAAAGAGCAUUUAUUCUGCAGAAAUAACCAGCAUGCUAGGGUCACCACCACUUCAAAAUGGGGAUGCAAAGAUUUUAACUCUCCAUGAACCUGUAAGAUAGUAACAAAUGAGGAAUGUUUAGCCAUAAUUACGCCUCGUGGAUAUGCAUGUGGACAUUCUCUGUAAUAAGCCACGAAUUCAAUUUGUGACCCAAAUUUAUGUGCAAACUCGUAGUGAACUUUUUACAGGCGAUCACACUCUGAAAAAUCAUGCCAGUGUUGAGAACAAAGAGUAGAAACAGGCCUCCCUUCCCUUUUCUUCCCAAAAUUCCAACUUAGAGCCAUGCAAUUUCUGCUGAGAAAGAGAGCAAAAGCCACUUUACCUAAUCUCUCCCUGUUUAACUCUGAGGUGCUAAACUGAAGACUGCAGCUUCUUGCCUCAGAGCAACCCAGACAGGCAGAUCAGUUAAGGAAGCAAAGUACCUUACAUUUAGGAUGGGUAGCAAAUGGUUAUGGUGUAGUUUCUGAGUGCAGACAAAAUGGGAUGAAAAUGACCCUUCAUCCCAUACUGAUUGUCACAGCAACUGUACUAAUUCAUAUCUUUAACAUUUAUAAAUCUUCCCCUUGUCCCAUAUUCUCCAUAGCAGUUGGUAAGUUUUAUUUUCUUAAAAGCUGAAUUCUGUCUGAUCAAGAAUCUUGGUGUAAUUAAAAUCAUAUUUCUAUGUUAUUUAUUUAUUUGUAUGUGUGGGGGGAGGUGGGCUUAAAGCAUGGAAUGGUGGUCAGAGAACAAUUUGGGAGAAGUCUUUCCUUUCUUCCUACCAUGUGGGUCCCACGUAGCAGACUGAGGUCAUCUAGGCCAGCAGCAAAUGCUUCUAUCCAUUGACCUAUCUCACUGCUCUUGGUGUAGUUUUGACUUGCAUUUCCUUGUUAGCUAAAAGUGUCAAACACCUUCCAUGUCUCAAUAUACCAUUUGUUUUCUGUUGGAAAGUAGUCUGCAAAUUCAUUUGCCCAUUUACCAAUUUCAUCAUCUGCUCUUUUGUUGUUUAAGUUUAAGGUCUUUAUAUAUUCUGGAUACUAAUGCCCUGUCAAAUGAAUACCUUUAAAGUUGUUCUCACAUUCUGUAGAUGGACUGACUCUUAACUGGUUCUUGUGCUGUGCAUGAGCUUCAAAAUUCAAUGCAUUCACCCUCUGCAGUUCUUGACCUACUAGAGUCCUAUUCAGAAACAUGUUGCCCAUGCCUGUACCUUGAAGUGUUUUUCUCUGGCAAUUCUAGAGCUUGAAGUGUUACAUUCGGGCAUUUGGCCCAUUUUGGAUCUUAUUUUAUUCUUCUAUGUGUGAAUCCCCACCUUUCUCAGUGCUCUUUUCUCUGUUGGAUAUUUUUGGCACAGUUGUCAAGAAUCAGAUGGCUGUGGCUGUGUGAGUUUAUAACAGAGUCUUCAAUUUCAUUUGGCUUAUAUAUGGCAUUUCUAUACUAGGACCAUUGGUGUUUUUGUUACUAUGGUUUUGUAGUGAAGUUUGAAAUAAAGUGUUGCAACAGUUCUAGCAUUCUGUUUUGCCCAGGGUUCCAGUCACUAUUUUUGGUCUUUUAUGCUUUUAUAUGAAAUUAAGAUAUGCUUCCUAAUCCUAUGAAGAGCAUCGCAGCUUUAGUGAGACAGACAUACAUUGUUGGAAACAUGUAAAUUCCCAAAACAGACUCAAAAAGAAAUUAAAGCUGUGGGUGGGCAGAUCUGCAACAAGAGAGUGAAUUGUCUAGAAAGAAAAGUUCAGGCCAGCUGACUUCUCAGAUUUUUAUAAACAGGUCAAGAAAAAUUACAUAGGUUUCUCAAAAGUCUUCCAAAGUAUUGCAGAAAAGGGGCAAUGGUCGAAUUCACUCUAUCAGAACUCCAGUUCCUUGAUAAACAAUCCAAGGAGGGCACACAGGCCUUAAUCCAAUCCAUAACACUACAAAGAAAAACAAAACAAAACAAGCAACACUCAAAACACAAGGAAAGGGAACAAACUUAACAUAAUAUGUGACAUUUGUAAGAGUUCGCAAGUAAUGUCAUGUUCAUUGAUGAAAUAUUGAAAACUUUUAUCAGGAAACAAAGACAGAGCUCUUUCAUUUCUUCCAUUUAACAUUGUCUCCAAAGUUCUGGCCAGAGCCAUGAGAGGUGUGGAGAACAAAGGUCACAUGCACUGAAGAAAGAGAAAUCAUCCAUUAGCAGAUUGCAUAACCUCUCACACUCCCACACCACUACAAUUACAAAGCAAAGAUACAGAAAACAAGAUAAAAAUCAAUCAUAUGUCCAUACACCAGACAUGAACAAUCUGGAUGUUAAGGAACAAUUUCACCCAUAAUAACAACAAGUAUAGAAUAAAAUACUUAAGAAUGAGUUUAACUAAGGAUGUAGAAGAUUUGUGUGCGUGUGUGCACGAAUGACAGACACACACACACACACACACACACACACACACACACACACACACACACACACUGUUGAAAUAAAUCAUAGAAGACCCAAAUGACCACUUAGAUGUGCGCCAGAAACCUCAUAUUGCUGAAGAUGGGAGUGUUGCGCAAUGGGGCCUCAGGAUUCAAGUCAAUUCCUAGCAAAAUCCAAAUGAUAUUUUCUUCCUAGAAAUAGAGAAGUUGAUCACAAAAUUUAAAGUGGAUUGCAAAAGAUCAUGCACAGCCAAAGAAUAAUUUGGAAUUUUCACAUCCAGGGUUCAAAAGUUAAAUAUAUAUACAUAUAUAUAUAUAAUUUUUAUUAUUAGUUUUAUAUCUAGAUGGGUGUUUUGCCUGCACGCAUGUCUGUCCAUGACAUGUGUGUAGUACCCUCUGAGGAAUGAGGAGGGCAUUGGGUCAUAUGAAACUGUACAGAUGACUUUCAGCUGCCAUGUGGGUGCUAGGACUCAAACCCAGGCCCUCUGGAAGAGCAGCCAGUGCUCUUAACUGCUGAUCCACCUCUCUAGACUGCAAGUCUAAUUUUAAAUAUUAGUAGGUCUUUAUGUUUAAUGUAGCUUAAGUUGUUUUAUGCCAUUAUAAACUGAUGCAAUACAAGAACAGUAUUUUUUAACUUGUUAAGAUUUUUCUUUACUGCCUAAAAUGUAAUUUUUUUUUUGAAGAACGUUCUAAGAGAUGCUGAAAAUAAUUCAUAUGCCAUGACUAUGUGGAAUAUUCCGUUAAAUCCAUUUGAUCUAUGGCUCAACUUAAUUUUGAAGUUUCAUUGCUAAUCUUUAUUGUUUAGCCUAUUUAUCUAUCGACAAGACUUGUAUAUAUAAGUUAUCAUUAUUAUUGUAUCUGGACCUAUCUGUCCCUUUAUGUUCUUAGGAUUUGUUUUAUGAAAUUGGGUAUGCAAAAAGUUGAUGUGUAUAUUUUUAUAAUCAUAUCUUCUCAGUGGAUUGCUUCCUUUCUUUGUACACAGUGGGCUUUUUAUCUUGUUUUAUUUUUAUUUUUUAACUCCAUCUAUCUAUCUAUCUAUCUAUCUAUCUAUCUAUCUAUUCACUUUACAUCCAGACUGUAACUUCUCCCUUCUCCUCUCCUCUCCUUCCUCUCCUGCCCUUACAAACCAUUCUCCCCAUUACCCUCUUCCCUUCUCCUUACUGAAGGGGUAACCCCCUUUGGGUACUACUCUGUCUGGAACAUCUAGUCCCAGCAGGACUAAGCAUGUCUUUUCCCACUGAGCCCCAGCCGGGCAGUCCAAUGAGGGGAAGGGUUUCCAAUCUCAGGCAACCAAGUCAGAGACAGCUCCCACCCAUCCAAUUGUAGAAUGUAAUUGUAACAAUUGGUAUUGUAUCCUUUAAAUGGUUAAAGUUGGGGAGUGACACCUGGUGAGGGGAUUACCCUUCAGUGAAGACCACAGAUCCAAGAGUUUAGGAGUAGCGCAGACUGUGUUUCUUGGUUUAAGAACAAAAGCCAUGAAGUUGGUUGGCUAGGGAAUCGGGGAUGGAUUUAGAAGGAGCUGGGUGGGUGAAUAUGAUCCAUGUACUUGUACGAAGUCCUCAAAGAACUAAUAAAAAUGAGAAAGUUGUGGAUUGUGUUUUGCACUUUGCCACAGUUUAAAACAAGGUCAGCAACAGUCGCAUGUGUAACUUCUUGUGGGCAGUCUGUUACUGGGGCUUGUAACCAUUAUGAUGGCAGGUUUUUUGCUGUUAUUUCCACUAACUCAAGGUAUCAAUUGUUCUAUUGCACUAAAGAUCCUAGUGUGCCCUUGUUCCCAAGAAACUUUUCCUUUUAAUUGUAUAUGAGUAUAUUGACACUGACCAGAAAGGGCAUCAGAUCCCAUUACAGAUGGUUGUGAGCCACCUUGUGGGUGCUGGGAAUUGAACUCAGGUCCUCUGGAAGAGCAGCCAGAGGUCUUAACCACUGAGCCAUCUCUCUAGCCCUGCCAGGGAACUUUUUUUAAAAAAUUUAUUUAUUUUUAUUGGACAUUUUAUGUAUUUGCAUUUCUUUUUUAUUGGAUAUAUUUCUUUAUUUACAUUUCAAAUGUAAAUAUGCCUUUCCCGGUUUCCUGUCCAUAAGCCCCUAUCUCUUCUCCCUCCCCGAUAAGGGUAUUCCCCCAUCCAUCCCCCCUUACUGCUGCCCCUCCCACAUUCCUCUGCACUAGGGGGUCCAACCUUGGCAGGACCAAGGGAUUCCCCUUCCACUGGCAUAUGCAGUUGGAGCCUGGGUCAGUCCAUGUAUUGUCUUUGGGUAGUGGUUUAGUCCCUGGAAGCUCUGGUUGGUUGGCAUUGUUGUUCUUAUGGGGUUGCAAGCCAGGGAACCUUUUAGUUUGCUCUCAAUUCUGCUGAAUCUGAACUAGUGUUUCUGCAGCUCCUCUGUGAGGGAACUUCACUAUUUCCUGGCAUUUCACUUUUCCUUUCAGUGUUGCAUAUCUUCAAGUAACUUCAGGCUCUUAAAACAUCUACAGUCCCCCCUCCCAACUUUCCAUUUGCCUAAUUCCAGUCUAAAAUGCUGUCCUUUUCUUGGCUUUCUAGGCUGCCAGGGUAGCUUUGGUUUCUGAUGCUCUGUGUGUUACUUAAGUUUCAUCUCAAGAUAUUAUUAAAUUCUCAUUAUUUCUGGUAUUCCGAGGGCUUCUGUGAUGCGUUUAGAUGCUUCUCCUUUAUUAAUUUGCUCGCAUGUAUUUUGGUAUGUGCUCUUUAGUUGGGGACAUUUUUAUUUUCCAGUUCAAAAAUGUUCACAUAUUUUUAUCCUUCAGGGUUUGAAUUUAAAUCCCCCACCCCCCAUGACUCAUGCCUUGGUAUCAUUUUUUGGAGAGCUGUAUUGAUUUUGAUCAGUGUCUUGGUUAGGGUCUCUAUUACUGAGAAGAGCACAGCGACUCUAACUAAGGAAAACAUUUCUUCUUAGGGCUGGCUUACAGUUCAAAGGCUUACUCAACUAUCAUCACGGCAGGAAGCACGGCGGCACACAGGGGACAUGGCACUGGAGAAGGAUCUCAGAGUUCUACAUUUGGAUUGAUAGGCAGCAGGAAAGGAGUCAGACACUGGGCCUGGCUUGAGCAUUUGCAACCUCAAGGUCUACCCUCACUGACAUACUUCCUCCAGUGUGGGAUGAUGUCUCAGGUGAGGCAGGUACAAGACAGAAGGAGGGGUGUCAUUGGAUGAGAAGGAAGGAUGGGCGGGAGAAAAGUUUGAAGGAGGAGGAGGAGACUGGAUGGUACUGGGCUUUGUAUGUUUAAGUGGGCAAUUGUAUCUUAUCAAUUGGAUCUAAGAUUAUUGUGCUGUGUGUUCUUUCAUGUGAGGGUUUGAGUGUAGGAAAGUGUGCGGCGGCUAGAGACACUGGGCCACCGCGGCGAAGUUGGGAUGUGUUUCUGCCAAGAUAUCUAGCAGAUAUCUUGGGACACUGCAGUACAGGACCUAGUGGGGCAAAAGACAACAGUACUUUUUUUUUAAUUUUUUAUAUUUUUAUAACAAUAGAUGGUGCCCAAAGUGGCCACACCUCUUAAAAGUGACACUCCCUGGUGACCAAGCAUUAAAAUCCCUAUUGUGACCAUUCAAACCACCAUCAAUGGGGCUAGCUGGAGGAGAGAGGUGGUAGGAAGAUAGUUACACCUGAACCUGUCUACUGCAGCUUCUUCCUCUUCCUGGCUGUAACGGGAAAUGCUUUGUCCUGCUGAUUCGUCUCUACCAUGAUGGAUAGACAUUGAUGACACCAUGAUCUAAAUAUAAUAGUUCUUCUCUUUAAGUUGUUUACACAAGAAAUAUUGGUUACAGCAAUGCAAAGAAGAAAUAUGUCAUCUCUGAAUAUUUAUUAUUUUCUCUUCUCCAAACUUCUAUUUGAUCUCAUGGACUGUUUCUCCUUUAGUGUUUUUCAUUGUCUCUCCCAUGCCAUCUCUUUUUUUAUCAUUAGAUGAUUUCUUCAACCGAUUCUUCAAAUUAUUCUGUUGAGAGUUUUUGUCUUGACUCUCAUUUUGGAAUAUUACCAGCCUAUAUCCUCUCCCAGGCUAGGCACAUACUGUGCCACUGAAUCAGACCCUUAGCCCUUGACUUCCAUGUUUUAAAUUUUUGAGUGCUUAUUUCUUGUUUCCUACUGAUUGACUAAUGUUUCCAUUCAUUUUGCAAAUGUGAUGCUUUCUGUUUCUGGGGGCCUAACAGGCUUGAGCUUCGGUUCCUCCCUUAAUUCUUCCUUCUGGGAUUACCUUGUGUGCUUGCUCUUAAGAAACUCCCUUUUUGCCUUUUCAGAAUAUUCAUUCAUCUUAAAGAUACCAAGUAGAUUGCAACAUUUGUAUACUUGAAGAGAUUUUGUUUAAGGUGAUCAGACAGGGAAGUAAUGUUGAUGUUGAGAGCCCACAAAAACCCAGAACAUACAGAUCUUUUGAAGGAAGGGUGGAUAUUUUAUUUGUAAUAAGAGAAACUGACUGGCCAUCUUUGGAAAUAUUAAUGCUUUAGGUAUCACCUUUGUAUGCACUAGGCCGUACUGCUAUGUGACUUUUUUUUUCAGGAAUCCAGCUGUGUGCACUCUCGGGUUUUGCUUUAUGAACAUACCCACCUGUCCUUUGGUCCCAGGUCCCUCAGGCGUCUGUGUGAUGCCUCUUUCUCUGUCUCAGUCUUCCAUCAUCCUUAUGAUUAGAAUGCUAUUUCAAAGGGGACACUUUUACUGGACCUCUCAAUACAGUAAUUUUUCUCAGCAGUAAAACAAUGAUUUCUAAAUGUGUUUAUAGUAUUUAAGGUUUAUUCUAAAUUCUCCCACACUUAUGAAUUGACUUUAUAUUACAGGUUCUCAGCAGAUAUCCUCAGACUUCUGAAGAUACCAGAAGUAUCUGCUCCAUGAUCUGCUAGAGGCAUUUGAAAAGGCAUUGGCCAGUGUUAAAUAUGGCUUCCCUGUCCCCACACCUGGGUCACCCUAUGCAGGGUGCUCAUAGGAAAGUGACUUGAGAGCAAGUCAGUACCUGUAAUGUGGGAUCCUUGUAACUCACAGCUCAGGCUGUGUUCAAAAUGACUCAGUUUCUCUUUCUUUGACACUUUAAAAGCUAUGUCCUUUCUCUGUUUCAAAUCCUACAAGUUAUUUGUUAUAUUCAAGAUGUUGCUGGUCUGAGCAUUCACUGCCCAUCAUUUUGACAUUCUUUUUGAACUUUUCCAAAACGAAUUUUGACCACACCACUGAUUUCAUAUUUAGGUUACAUCACUCCAAAUUUGGUGUAAACCCAUGCAUACAUUUUCUUCAAUGCAGAUGUGAUCAUGUAAUAUUCUUUUAUUUCUCAUUAUAUUGACAAAUAUCAUUUAUAAAGUAAAAUGAUAUAAUACAGACUUAAAUUAAGCAUAUUUGUUUGUGAUAUAAUCUAUUCAGAAUAAAAAUAAGCAGCACAUAGAAAGGUCUUGCUACAUAACCACUGACCUGGAAUUUGUAUUAAUUGUUUGAACUUCACACAACUCUGUGGGAUAUCUACAGCCCCUGCUUUUUCUGUACAGACGAGGAAAACAAGACCCGGGUACUAAACCAGACUGCUUUAGAUCGGGUGGAUACUUUUACAUAAAGCUAUUUUCUUACAGAAAAUUUUCAGAAAAUACUUGGUCUGGAGGAGAAAAAAUAAACAUUGGGAUUCUGAAGGUUGGGGACAAGAAAAUGAAGCAAUCAGGAGAUGACGGAUAGUUUUGGGGGGAUUUGUAAAAGCUUUGAAGGAUGUACAAGAAAACAUCAGAUCAGAGUAUGCCAAGAGCCCCGGCUUUCCUCCAGUAAGAAGAUCCGCCCCUUCCCCACAAGCGUGCUACAAUCUCUUCCCUUCCAAAAUUUGACGACACUUUCUGAUGUACAGUACUAUGAAAAUAAUUUUACACUUGAAUCCAUUCGUUUAGUCAUUUAGGCAACAACCAUUGACUGACUGUUGAGGCAGAAUCUUACUGUGCGGCCCUGAUUGUGUCUCCAACUCAAAAUCCUGCCCUAGCCAGCUGUGCACCAGCAUGCCCCCAUUCUAGCAAAUGGAUAUGGAGUAGCAACUGCAUGACAAACUCGAGUCUAGGCAGAGUCAAUACUUCAGUAAAUAAAACGUUCCCACCCCAACGACUUGGUCUGAAGCAGGGAGGUGGUGAGGGCAGCCAUAGCAAAAAGCUUUAUCAAUGGAGUGCACGCUCUACAGGGGGAAGAAAUGCAUAUCUAUAAGGGUCCAUGAAUGCCAAAGAAUGAUAUCCCAGACUCAAAUAGCGCAUAAAUGCAAAGAGUGUUUUAUUCUUUGGAAAUCCAACACGACGGAGAUUCUGAAGUGAGCUCACAGGCUCAAUUUAAAACACAUUAGGGGAAUUCCAGGGAGGGGUAGGUGACCUCUGUCUUAAUCUGUUGGCUCUGUCUCUAGAGACUUUCCAGUAUCUUUGCUAGGGUGUAGGGGAAACUGUUGCUGGGAAGUCUGGAAACUGUUGCUGGGGAAGUCUGGAAACUGUUGCUGGGGAAGUCUGGAAACUGUUGCUGGGGAAGUCUGGAAACUGUUGCUGGGGAAAUCUGGAAACUGUUGCUGGGGAAGUCUGGAAACUGCCACUGACCCACUAUUGUACUUGCCUCAGGCCAGGUGGCAGGGCAGCUUCUGAGGCCUGGAGUUGCCUAGACUUGCCUACUUCUGGGAAACAGAUUUAAGCCGUGUCUCUUGAACAACUGCCAAUUUGAAGCCUACCGUGGAGUCAGCCUGUCUCAAACCAAGAAUUGAACCCAGAACGUUGUGCACAGUUGACAAGCACUCUACCACUGAACUUCUUAAGAACCCAGGAGUCAAAGAAAGGAAAAGAAGUUGCUAAACAGAGUAAGAAGGAACACCCAGGACAAGGCAAGAAAGUUGAAAAUGGCAUGCCUAGAUAUGGGACAUGGAGAGAAAAGAAAUCACAGAAAUGUAUUGAACGUGGAGUGUGGAAUUUAAUUCUGUAGAAACAAGAAAGGCAAGAGUGCUGUUUAAGAAGGCCAGCAGCACAGUCACCUUUGUUUACAGAGGGGAUUACCCAGGUGAGGUGAAGAGUCAACCAGAGGGCACCUUAAAUAGCAAGAGUUAGCUACUGAAGGAUGCAGUGACAGCCCCUAGUCCACCAGCCGGUCUUCCUGCUUCCUGUUCUUCGACUUUGAACUGGUGUGUUUUACUGUGUUCCUCCUGCUUGCUCCUAGUUUCUCUUAACAACCAGAGUAUUUAGUACCACAAAAUUAAGAAUCCAAUCAUGCCCAGGCAUGGAAGAAUGCAAUGACUGCAGUGUAUGUGUGUUCAGUGGAAACACUAGCCAGGUGUUUCCACAUCUUCAGACCCAGAACACAUCCCAGUGUCUUGGAGGACGCUGGGGCUGAAGGAAACGGUGAGCUGGAUUGACUUGAGGCAGUUCGAAGGUCAUGUUAAUUUCUCCCAGCUGCCAUGGCGGAUUACCACAAACAGGAGCGCUUAGGACAAUGGGAAUGUAGUCUCGCAGAUCUGGAGGCUAGAAGUCUAAAGUCAAGAUGCUAGAGGAACCACAGUUGCCCUUGGAGAGGCCACUGCAGAAUCCUCCCUUCCCACUUCCUAGCUCACUUCAGAGAUUGCUGGCCAGCUGUGGCUUGCCGCUGUGCCUGGUCUCUGUCACCACCUAACCUCUUUCUAUCUCCGAGCCCCAGUUCUCUCUGUCAUUGGAUUAGGGCUAAGCAGUAUGCCCAUCUAAAUUGAUGACAUCUUUAAAAGUCCUACUUCCAAAUGAACUCAUAUUUAGAGGUGUCUAAUUGAGGAUAACGGAUCUUUGGGGGAAGAUAGUCCAUCCCACAACAAAGAGUGUGAUUUUUGUGAUGUUGUCUUUCUACUGGUUCGAAUCUCUUCUAGAGUGACUCAUGGCACAUAGAGCAGAUUGGGCUAGUGGCAACUCAAGAACAUCAAGUAAUUAUAUUACAUAGUUGCAAAUCUCUUUUCUAGAAACUAUACAUCCAUUCUCCUAGAGUUCGAUGAUUUAGGACAUUCUUGACUCUUUUCUAGGGAGAGUCUGAUGUGGAGAGAUAAGAAAGUCGCCCCAGACUCUUCCUUGAACUAAUUCGUGCUUUCAGUUUGACCACAGCAAAGUAAACCUUUCUGGAUAAUUUAAUGUAAUUUAAGAGUCAAAAAAAAAUAUCGAUUUUUUUGGUCCAGAGUGACACUAUUAUGCAAGACUGGAAAAAUGUAGCUUUAUAGAACUAGACUUUAUUUACAAGGACUUUUGGCAAAAUUGUGGAGCCCCACUGGAAGUUCCCGGGUUUCAGCAUCCAGGGAGGUAAUGGAAGCCGACAGGGGUGGGAGACCUAAAGGAAAGAGCGAGGUGAGCACUGGCCUACUCUCCGAGUCUCAGGUUGCAGGUGCGGAUGGAUCCUGACUGUGUGGGGUUACCCAGAGUCCUCCUGAGUCACCACGGAGACAGCAGAUGCCAGCAGCGAUGCUCCUCUGGCGCUGAUCUGGAGACUUCUGAGAAAUAGUAAACAUUCAGAGAGUGACACCAGAGCCAUCAUGACUUUGUGCUUUCUUCUUUUUCUGGAUCUAUCUGGUGUGACUUCUCUCUCACCAUCAUGAAUCCCUGCUUCAGUGACACGUCUUUCUGUAGCUUUUCAACUCAAUGACACAUAAUAUGUCUCAGCUAAGGGGGGAUUCUUGGGGAUCAUGCUUUCUAGUGAUAAUUUACUAGCACUUUCCUAAUGUUUUGCUUACAAUAAAAAGUCCUGUCCAAUUUUUUAGAUGUUAUCCCUUCAUAUUAAGAUUUCAUUGCACUGUAACCUGUAACUGUUCAGUUUUUUCCAUGACUGCUCCAGUUCCUGAAUAAUACCACAGAGGCUUAUUUAUUUGUGAGUUAAUGCCUAGGCUUUAAGCUAGGCUUUCUCCCCAGCUAGCUCUUAACUUGUAUUAACCUGUUUAUGCUAUUCAGUGUCUGUGAUGUGGCUGGUUACCUCUCCUCAGUUUCAUACAUCCAACUUCCUCCAAGUCCAGAUGGCAAAACCUUGAGCCUGUCUCCGAGAGUUUCUCUCUCUCUCUCUGCUGAAUAUCCCACCUUUUAAUACUGCCUCAUCUUAUUGGUCAUCAGAUUCCUAUUGAUGAGGCCUUACAUAGUGCACAGAUUAUCUCUAUAGUAACCUGCAGAUAAAAUUAAAUAUUCAGUAAGUAAAAUAAGUAAAUAUUCAAUAAAUGAAACAAGCUCAGCCCUUAGCACACACCUUUAAUCCCAAACACUGAAGGUAAAGUUAGUUUGUAAAAGGAAGCACCCAUGUUUGAACAGGAUGUCUAAUUGAGUGACAGACAAAGUGAUGACUCAGAGAAAGAUUUGACAGAAUACAAUACGCUCAACUCUCAUGAGAGGGGAAAGGGAAGCUGCUUAAGGGCACAGAGAGAGAGAGGAAAGGAGGAGGGGAUGGAGAAAGAGAGGCAGUUUUACUGGGACAGUUAUACAGAGACAGGUUGCAGAGAACAAGCUAGACACAGGUGAAGACAGAAUGAGCCAGAGAACGAGAAGGAGCCAGAAUAUUAGAGUAUAUUGCCAAAGGUUGUAUGAGACCAAGUAGAGAAAUUCAGGAGAGACCAAGAGAGAAGCCAUGAAUCAGCAUGGAAGGAGUUUGAGCCAGAGCAGCUGAGUUGAACCAGCCAGCCAGAGUUCAGGAGAGCUAGAAAGGGCGAGCUUAUUCAGCAGUAAGUCUCAGAGGCAAAAAACAUUUUAGGUCUAGAUUAGAUUAUUCAGAGGCUAGAAGCUUCCAGGACUAGACCUAGGUUAGCAGACAGAGGCAGUAAGCAUUGGAGAAGACAAGUACAUCAGAAGGAUAAAAAGCUACUUUUAUGUUAAGUGGAAGCUUAACAGCCACACACACUUCACCAAACUGCUACAGAAGAGUCAAGAUGUCCAUGAAGAGUCUGGCAGUCUCCUGGGAGAUGUUUUAUUUUAUUUACCUUUUGUGUGAGAAGUGGAAUACCUCGUGAACGCUACAUUAAACAUUCAGUUUCACCAUGCAAACCCAGGCAUACAGCUCUCCCGUAAGUCCCACUGAAACCCUUGCCUUUUCAAGCCUCUGGUGCCCAGGAUGGGCAAGCAUGCCCACCAUGUUGUUAUCCUCCAGAAUGAGCUUCUGAUUCAUCUAUAAUUGGUUAAUUAGCUUUUCCCACAUCCAUCAGCAAUCUGAAACUCUAGCUUACUCUAGACUCUGCUAUCACCAACCUUUCCAUAACAUGUAUCACAGUGACUAUUAGGGUUUGAAUGUAAAAACGUCACCACAGGGGUUGGGGAUUUAGCUCAGCGGUAGAGCGCUUGCCUAGCGAGCACAAGGCCCUGGGUUCGGUCCCCAGCUCCGGAAAAAAAAAAAAAGAAAAAAAAAAGAAAAAGAAAAAAACAAAAACAAACAAAAAAAAAAGUCACCACAGACUCAUGGGUUUAAACACUUGGCUCACAGAAGUUGGUGCUCUUUGGGGACCUCCCAGAACCUUUGUGAAUAUUGCCUCGUUGGUGGAAAUGAAUCACUGUAGGGCAGGCCUUUGAGGGACAAGGGAUGUAGCUCAACCUGGCUGAUGCUGUUCCCUGCCUGCGAUUUGGUGACCAGACGCCUUACCAUGCAGCCAACGCUGAACAGAACCCGUCCACACCAUGAGUGUGCCUUCCCUGCCACUGGUGCACUAAAACCACAACCAAAAGAGCUCCAUCUUGCCUUCAUUUGCUGCAGUGAAGAAAGUCAUCCAUACUGUGACGGAACUUAAUACAGCUCCAAAUCAGAUGAGCUCUCUUUCUCUGCAUCUAUGUGCCACCCCCACGCUGAGAAGUGACGUGUGUAACUGGACCAGUCCCGAUGUUUGCAAUCACCGGAACAGCCUGCGUGGACACUCCUAUCUUUUAUCAUUUGCAAUUCAAAGCACCACAGCACAGGAAGAAAUGUAGCACUUUCCUGAAUCCUAGGCUUCAUUCUAAUGAACUUAAGUCAAAUGGUGAGAAUCCUAGCUAAAUCAGGCAAAUCAUGGGGAGGUGGGUCUUGUACCCCGAAAGUGAGUGGAUAAAAGACAGCAAGAGCUUCUCCUUUAUGUAAUUAAAAGCACCGCAGCAUAGAAAAAACCGCUCAGGGUCACACAGCUGUUAGGAGGCAGCACCAGACCUGGAACUUGGGUCCACCUGUCAAUCAUCAUCCACGGUCUCCCAGCCCACAGCCGCAGCGCUCCUGGUGAGACCGGACCGGGAAGUAUGUUCUCAUGCCCUGGGUAGAGAGAGGUGAGUCUGGACUUGGAUUGACUCUGGAGCUGUUCGCUGUCUCCUCUCCAGUUCUCUGACCCAGGUUAGAAGUUACAUGACUUCUCUGCAUUUUCCUUCCCUGACUGGAUGUAGGGAUGGUGGGCGCUCACCUCGUGGGAGUUUGGGAGGAUGAGAUGACUGCAUGUUACAGUCACAGUCACACUGAGCACACAGUAGGCACUCGGUAAGUUGCUGGUCUGGUCACCAGAUGCUGCUGCCUUUGGGGCGAGGCACUCUGGUUGUGCGGUUAAGGCCUCCUCGGCUUGUGUAGCUGUAGCACCCUCACCCGCUCUCACCCCAUAAAUCGCUCCGGGGCCUUUCUGCCGUCGAAAGACUGCUUUUUCAUUGGCGCUCUGUUUCCUGGCUUUCCGUCAUCCCUGGUCCCUCCUCCCACAGCUGGAGCCUAUAUUUUUCUGUGGACAUUCUUUAUGAACUUACCAACUUUUCAUACCGCUUUUUUUUUUAUUUUUUUUUAAAAGCAGGCUGUGGUGAGGAACACAACACAUUCGAAUUUAGCUUCAUCAGCUCACUUAAUCUGUUACUGUUUCUGUUUUCUCUCUUCAAGGCAGGGAUCUAGAAGCCCUAAAUGGAACGCUUCAAUUCUUCGAAUCACACUUGUGAUGAGCCCUGUGGUGUGUCUAUUCCCCACAGCCAAGGAAUGAAGGCCGACUGUUUAACUUAAAAACUGCAUUCUAAAAGGCUGCCACUUCUUACUGCACGAAGAAAUACAAGAAUAAUCUGACCAGGAGGUCACUGGGGAAUUGCCAAAUGACAAAUAAAUCAGCAUUGUUUAUUAAAGUGA